UACGGGGGGGGCAAGCGUUGUUCGGAAUUACUGGGCGUAAAGGGCUCGUAGGUGGCCAACUAAGUCAUACGUGAAAUCCCUCGGCUUAACCGGGGAACUGCGUCUGAUACUGGAUGGCUUGAGGUUGGGAGAGGGAUGCGGAAUUCCAGGUGUAGCGGUGGAAUGCGCAGAUAUCAGGAGGAACACCGGUGGCGAAGGCGGUUCUCUGGGCAUUACCUGACGCUGAGGAGCGAAAGCAUGGGGAGCGAACAGG
rnacentral:rRNA from 1 species